rnacentral:sRNA from 1 species
ACUUUGGAUCCUUCCUGAGGACGUGGAGAAAACUUGCUGCUGAGAAGGACAUUUUGAAGGUUUUGUUGGCUGAAAAAGCUGUUUCUGGAAUCACCCCUAGAUCUUUCUUGAAGACUUGAAUUAGAUUACAGCGAUGGGGACACAGAAGGUCACCCCAGCUCUGAUCUUUGCCAUCACAGUUGCUACAAUCGGCUCUUUCCAAUUUGGCUACAACACUGGGGUCAUCAAUGCUCCUGAGAAGAUCAUAAAGGAAUUUAUCAAUAAAACUUUGACGGACAAGGGAAAUGCCCCACCCUCUGAGGUGCUGCUCACGAAUCUCUGGUCCUUGUCUGUGGCCAUAUUCUCCAUCGGGGGUAUGAUCGGCUCCUUUUCCGUCGGACUCUUCGUCAACCGCUUUGGCAGGCGCAAUUCAAUGCUGAUUGUCAACCUGUUGGCUGUCACUGGUGGCUGCUUUAUGGGACUGUGUAAAGUAGCUAAGUCGGUUGAAAUGCUGAUCCUGGGUCGCUUGGUUAUUGGCCUCUUCUGCGGACUCUGCACAGGUUUUGUGCCCAUGUACAUUGGAGAGAUCUCGCCUACUGCCCUGCGGGGUGCCUUUGGCACUCUCAACCAGCUGGGCAUCGUUGUUGGAAUUCUGGUGGCCCAGAUCUUUGGUCUGGAAUUCAUCCUUGGGUCUGAAGAGCUAUGGCCGCUGCUACUGGGUUUUACCAUCCUUCCUGCUAUCCUACAAAGUGCAGCCCUUCCAUUUUGCCCUGAAAGUCCCAGAUUUUUGCUCAUUAACAGAAAAGAAGAGGAGAAUGCUAAGCAGAGUGAGUAUCCUUCACACCUUACUACAUGAAUUAUAUGGUUGUGGUUUGUUUUAGGGAUUAUUGUACUGGACCUACUUUCUGUUACACUCUUUCCCUGCCUCUCAGAAUCCAAGUGAGGAGGGUUCUGAUUACUCCUGAGUAAAAUUUUCAGCCCCUAAAGAAUGAGGUGAAAAGGCGGGUUUAGGAAUGGAUGCUAUCAGGCCGGGUGUGAUGGCUCAUGCCUGUAAUCCAGCAUUAUAAGAGGCCGAGGCGGGUCACCUGAGGUCAGGAGUUCAAGACCUGCCUGAAACAACAUGGAGAAACCCUGUCUCUACUAAAAAUACAAAAUUAGCCGGGCAUGGGGGCGCAUGCCUGUAAUCCCAGCUACUUGGGAGGCUGAGGCAGGAGAAUCAUGUGAACCCGGGAGGUGGAGGUUGCAGGGAGCUGAGAUCAUGCCAUUGCACUCCAGCCUGGGCAACAAAAGUGAAACUCUGUCUCAAAAAAAAAAAAAAGGAAUGGAUGCUAUCCAUCACCUCAUCUCGUGCGGCCCUUUCCUGGCUGCCUUACAGGAAGAAUGAAUUCGGGGCAGCACAUUCUCUUUAUCCUUUCCUCUUUCUUCUUUUCACCAGUCCUCCAGCGGUUGUGGGGCACCCAGGAUGUAUCCCAAGACAUCCAGGAGAUGAAAGAUGAGAGUGCAAGGAUGUCACAAGAAAAGCAAGUCACCGUGCUGGAGCUCUUUAGAGUGUCCAGCUACCGACAGCCCAUCAUCAUUUCCAUUGUGCUCCAGCUCUCUCAGCAGCUCUCUGGGAUCAAUGCUGUGUUCUAUUACUCAACAGGAAUCUUCAAGGAUGCAGGUGUUCAAGAGCCCAUCUAUGCCACCAUCGGCGCGGGUGUGGUUAAUACUAUCUUCACUGUAGUUUCUCUAUUUCUGGUGGAAAGGGCAGGAAGAAGGACUCUGCAUAUGAUAGGCCUUGGAGGGAUGGCUUUUUGUUCCACGCUCAUGACUGUUUCUUUGUUAUUAAAGGAUAACUAUAAUGGGAUGAGCUUUGUCUGUAUUGGGGCUAUCUUGGUCUUUGUGGCCUUUUUUGAAAUUGGACCAGGCCCCAUUCCCUGGUUUAUUGUGGCCGAACUCUUCAGCCAGGGCCCCCGCCCAGCUGCGAUGGCAGUGGCCGGCUGCUCCAACUGGACCUCCAACUUCCUAGUCGGAUUGCUCUUCCCCUCUGCUGCUCACUAUUUAGGAGCCUACGUUUUUAUUAUCUUCACCGGCUUCCUCAUUACCUUCUUGGCUUUUACCUUCUUCAAAGUCCCUGAGACCCGUGGCAGGACUUUUGAGGAUAUCACACGGGCCUUUGAAGGGCAGGCACACGGUGCAGAUAGAUCUGGAAAGGACGGCGUCAUGGAGAUGAACAGCAUCGAGCCUGCUAAGGAGACCACCACCAAUGUCUAAGUCGUGCCUCCUUCCACCUCCCUCCCGGCAUGGGAAAGCCACCUCUCCCUCAACAAGGGAGAGACCUCAUCAGGAUGAACCCAGGACUGCUUCUGAAUGCUGCUACUUGCAUCCCACGCACUCCAUGAGCACCCCAAGGCUGCGGUUUGUUGGAUCUUCAAUGGCUUUUUAAAUAUUUUAUUUCCUGGACAUGCUCUUCUGCUUAGGAGAGACCGAGUGAACCUACCUUCAUUUCAGGAGGGAUUGGCCACUUGGCACAUGACAACUUUGCCAGCUUUUCCUCCCUUGGGUUCUGAUAUUGCCGCACUAGGGGAUAUAGGAGAGGAAAAGUAAGGUGCAGUUCCCCCAACCUCAGACUUACCAGGAAGCAGAUACUUGUGAGUGUGGAAGCCGGAGGGGGUUUAUGUAAGAGCACCUUCCUCACUUCCAUACAGCUCUACGCGGCAAAUUAACUUGAGUUUUAUUUAUUUUAUCCUCCGGUUUAAUUACAUAAUUUUUUUUUGUUUUUUACUUUAAGUUUCAGGAUACAUGUGCCGAAUGUGCAGGUUUGUUACAUAGGUAUAUAUAUGCCAUGAUGGAAAUAUUUAUUUUUUUAAGCGUAAUUUUGCCAAAUAAUAAAAACAGAAGGAAAUUGAGAUUAGAGGGAGGUGUUUAAAGAGAGGUUAUAGAGUAGAAGAUUUGAUGCUGGAGAGGUUAAGGUGCAAUAAGAAUUUAGGGAGAAAUGUUGUUCAUUAUUGGGUAAAUGAUAUGGUGCCUGAGGUCUGUACGUUACCUCUUCAACGAUUUCUGUCCUUCAGAUGGAAACUAAUUUCUCAUAAAAGUCAUAUACCUAUAUAAUAAAGCUACUGAUUUCCUUUGGAGCUUUUUUCUUUAAGAUAAUAGUUUACAUGUAGUAGUACUUGAAAUCUAGGAUUAUUAACUAAUAUGGGCAUUGUAGUUAAUGGCGGUUGAUGGGUUCUAAUUUUGGAUGGAGUCCAGGGAAGAGAAAGUGAUUUCUAGAAAGCCUGUUCCCCUCACUGGAUGAAAUAACUCCUUCUUGUAGUAGUCUCAUUACUUUUGAAGUAAUCCCGCCACCUAUCUCGUGGGAGAGCCAUCCAAAUGAGAAACCUAAAAUAAUUGGUUCUUGGUAGAGAUUCAUUAUUUCUCCACUUUGUUCUUUAGGAGAUUUUAGGUGUUGAUUUUCUGUUAAUUUUAACUCAUACCUUUAAAGGAAUUCCCCAAAGAAUGUUUAUAGCAAACUUGGAAUUUGUAACCUCAGCUCUGGGAGAGAAUUUUUUUCUGAGAGAUUGUUAUCUAAAGUGUGUUGUUGCUUUAGGCUCACGGCACGCUUGCGUAUGUCUGUUACCAUGUCACUGUGGUCCUAUGCCGAAUGCCCUCAGGGGACUUGAAUCUUUCCAAUAAACCAGGUUUAGACAGUAUGAGUCAAUGUGCAGUGCAGCCCACACUUGAGAGGAUGAAUGUAUGUGCACUGUCACUUUGCUCUGGGUGGAAGUACGUUAUUGUUGACUUAUUUUCUCUGUGUUUGUUCCUACAGCCCCUUUUUCAUAUGUUGCUCAGUCUCCCUUUCCCUUCUUGAUGCUUACACAUCUCAGACCCUUUAGCCAAACCCUUGCCAGUGACAGUAUUUUGGUUCUCAGUUCUCACUGUUCCCUCUGCUCCUGGAGCCUUUAAAUAAAAAUGCACGUAGCUGAGGCCAGAUGCAGUGGCUCACGCCUGUAAUCCCAGCACUUUGGGAGGCCUAGGUGGGCGGUCAGGGGUUCGAGACCAGUCUGGCCAACAUAGUGAAACCCUGUCUCUACUAAAAAUGCAAAAAUUAGCCGGACAUGGUGGCGGGCGCCUGUAAUCCCAGCUACUUGGGAAGCUGAGGCGGGAGAAUCAUGUGAACCCGGGACGCAGGGGUUGCAGUGAGCGGCGAUCGCAUCAUUGCACUCUAGCCUGGGCCACAGGGCGAGACUCCGUCUCAAAAAAAAAAAAAAUGCACAUAGCUAUGGAGUGGGCUUUAGCUUGAAGAGGUGACCUUGCAACUUCAUGUCAACUUCUGGCUCCUCAAACAGUAGGUUGGCAGUAAGGCAGGGUCCCAUUUCUCACUGAGAAGAUUGUGAAUAUUUCCAUAUGGAUUUUCUAUUGUUACUCUGAUUCUUUGUUUUAAAAUAAAAAUUCUGAAUGUACACG